rnacentral:rRNA from 1 species
UAAUACAUGCAAGUCGAGCGGAUCGAUGGGAGCUUGUUCCCUGAGAUCAGCGGCGGACGGGUGAGUACACGUGGGUAACCUGCCUGUAAGACUGGGAUAACUCCGGGAAACCGGGGCUAAUACCGGAUAACUCAGUUCCUCGCAUGAGGAACUGUUGAAAGGUGGCUUUUCGCUACCACUUACAGAUGGACCCGCGGCGCAUUAGCUAGUUGGUGAGGUAACGGCUCACCAAGGCAACGAUGCGUAGCCGACCUGAGAGGGUGAUCGGCCACACUGGGACUGAGACACGGCCCAGACUCCUACGGGAGGCAGCAGUAGGGAAUCUUCCGCAAUGGACGAAAGUCUGACGGAGCAACGCCGCGUGAGUGAAGAAGGUUUUCGGAUCGUAAAACUCUGUUGUUAGGGAAGAACAAGUGCCGUUCGAAUAGGGCGGCACCUUGACGGUACCUAACCAGAAAGCCACGGCUAACUACGUGCCAGCAGCCGCGGUAAUAC